UUUCUUUCCUUCAAGCUCAACAGGCUCCCAGGAUGGUCCUGUGAGCAUUCCCAGCAGCAGUGACAGCAGGGAGGACCCACUCCACAAAGCUCUAAAGAAGAAGAGCAUCAAGUCCUCCACUGGUCGUUUGUUUGGCAAAAAGGAAAAGGGUCCGCCUGGACAAACUGGCAAAGAAUCACCAAGACAAGCUGUUGUUUCUGAAACGGAAAACUCAUCUCAGGAUGCCUUCCAACUUAGCAAACUGGGAGGAAAGGAUGAAAAAAAUCGUCAACUUCAAAAAAACUCAACAGGCUCCCAGGAAGGUCCUGUGAACAAUCCCAGUAGCAGUGACAGCAGGCAGGAUGCGCUCCACAAAGCCCCAAAGAAGAAGAGCAUCAAGUCCUCCAUUGGUCAUUUGUUUGGCAAAAAGGAAAAGGGUCAGCCUGGACAAACUGGCAAAGAAUCACCAAGACAAGGUGGGCCGGUUUUAGGCAGCUGUCCUAACUGCUGGGAUUGGGAGAGCGUGAGAUUUUUCCUAUGUGCCUGCUGCAGGUGUCCAGUGCCCAUGAGGAGUCAUGGCUGAGCAUUCUCCUGACAGCCCAGUUUGCC
ensembl:lincRNA